AUUGAACGCUGGCGGCAUGCCUUACACAUGCAAGUCGAACGGUAACAGGUUAAGCUGACGAGUGGCGAACGGGUGAGUAAUAUAUCGGAACGUGCCCAGUCGUGGGGGAUAACGUAGCGAAAGCUACGCUAAUACCGCAUACGAUCUACGGAUGAAAGCGGGGGAUCGCAAGACCUCGCGCGAUUGGAGCGGCCGAUAUCAGAUUAGCUAGUUGGUGGGGUAAAAGCUCACCAAGGCGACGAUCUGUAGCUGGUCUGAGAGGACGACCAGCCACACUGGAACUGAGAAACGGUCCAGACUCCUACGGGAGGCAGCAGUGGGGAAUUUUGGACAAUGGGCGCAAGCCUGAUCCAGCAAUGCCGCGUGCAGGAUGAAGGCCUUCGGGUUGUAAACUGCUUUUGUACGGAACGAAACGGCGAGCUCUAAUACAGUUUGCUAAUGACGGUACCGUAAGAAUAAGCACCGGCUAACUACGUGCCAGCCGCCGUAACAC
rnacentral:rRNA from 1 species